rnacentral:rRNA from 1 species
AGUGAACGCUGGCGGCAGGCCUAACACAUGCAAGUCGAGCGGCAGCACGGCAAUAGCAAUAUUGUGGGUGGCGAGCGGCGGACGGGUGAGGAAUGCAUCGGGAUCUACCCUGUCGUGGGGGACAACGUAGGGAAACUUACGCUAAUACCGCAUGAUCUGGAGACAGCAAAGCCGGGGACCCGCGAGGGCCUGGCGCGAUGGGAUGAGCCGAUGUCCGAUUAGCUAGUUGGCGGGGUAAAGGCCCACCAAGGCGACGAUCGGUAGCUGGUCUGAGAGGACGACCAGCCACACUGGAACUGAGACACGGUCCAGACUCCUACGGGAGGCAGCAGUAGGGAAUAUUGGACAAUGGGGGCAACCCUGAUCCAGCCAUGCCGCGUGAGUGAAGAAGGCCCUCGGGUUGUAAAGCUCUUUUGUCCGGAAAGAAAGCAUCUGGUUAAUACCCGGGUUUCUGACGGUACCGGAAGAAUAAGCACCGGCUAACUUCGUGCCAGC